CCUGCCACUGGCCUGCCGCGCUGAUGGUACCUGGAGCAGGGUAGAAGCAGUCCAAUGGUCCAUUGGGGUUCUGUGCAUCCUCGGAGCACCUAUAGCUGGGGCAUGUGUCGGAUGAGAACAUUGUGUACGCGGAAGUAGCAUCCGGCAUCGCUCCUCUCCUAGAAGGGCAAGAAAGGGCACUAACCAGUACAUCGUCAUGCUCUGCCAGGUUACUGUGCAGUGAUUUAAUUAUCAAAUUGGUGAAAUACCAAGCCUCUGUUGACUUGGAGUAGGCUUCAUGAACUUGUAUCUUAAUCCUUGAUAUCAGAAUGGCAGCUGUAGGAGACGAAGAGGUUGAGGGAUAGGAUCUGUGUGAUCAUGGGCCAGUGUGGAAAAUGUGCAGCGGCGCUCUCUUGCUGGCGACGAAGACCAGCUCAGCCGCCACACGGUUGGGCCUCCUUGUUGGGCCUUUCUGCCACUUGGACCAAGAGGGCAACCCUGCUUCUCCCUAACUGCGGGACAAUGGAAGGUUGAUGCUGUUGUACGUGUUCAUUGACGUGCUUAUGCCAUUUGAAGGUUUUCAGGGAAAUGGCAAGAAUGUCACCAAUCGGGAGAAGCACAUAGACUCAAAUUUUGCAAAGGU